rnacentral:rRNA from 1 species
UACGUAGGUGGCAAGCGUUGUCCGGAUUUACUGGGCGUAAAGGGCGCGUAGGCGGCCCUCUAAGUCGAACGUGAAAUCCCUGGGCUCAACCUGGGAACUGCAUCCGAAACUGCCUUGCUAGAGUAUGGGAGAGGGAAGUGGAAUUUCCGGUGUAGCGGUGAAAUGCGUAGAUAUCGGAAGGAACAUCAGUGGCGAAGGCGACUUCCUGGACCAAUACUGACGCUCAGGUGCGAAAGCGUGGGGAGCAAACAGG